GCGUUCUUAGUGUAGCGGUUAUCAUCCAAGCCUUCCAUUCGAGAAAUCGAGAGCUUGGGACAGGGGUUCGACUCCCCUAGGACGCA
rfam:Colletotrichum gloeosporioides Nara gc5 unplaced genomic scaffold scaffold303, whole genome shotgun sequence.